rnacentral:rRNA from 1 species
AUUGAACGCUGGCGGCAGGCCUAACACAUGCAAGUCGAGCGGAUGAAGGGAGCUUGCUCCUGGAUUCAGCGGCGGACGGGUGAGUAAUGCCUAGGAAUCUGCCUGGUAGUGGGGGAUAACGUCCGGAAACGGGCGCUAAUACCGCAUACGUCCUGAGGGAGAAAGUGGGGGAUCUUCGGACCUCACGCUAUCAGAUGAGCCUAGGUCGGAUUAGCUAGUUGGUGGGGUAAAGGCCUACCAAGGCGACGAUCCGUAACUGGUCUGAGUAUGAUCAGUCACACUGGAACUGAGACACGGUCCAGACUCCUACGGGAGGCAGCAGUGGGGAAUAUUGGACAAUGGGCGAAAGCCUGAUCCAGCCAUGCCGCGUGUGUGAAGAAGGUCUUCGGAUUGUAAAGCACUUUAAGUUGGGAGGAAGGGCAGUAAGUUAAUACCUUGCUGUUUUGACGUUACCAACAGAAUAAGCACCGGCUAACUUCGUG